AGUGAACGCUGGCGGCGUGCCUAAUACAUGCAAGUCGAACGGAGUGGCGCACGGGUGGGUAAUGUAUAGCUAAUCUGCCCUACACUAGAGGACAACAGCUGGAAACGACUGCUAAUACUCUAUAGUGUAGGAUGAGGCUAUAUUGUAUCAGCUAGUUGGUGAGGUAAUGGCUCACCAAGGCUAUGACGCAUAACUGGUCUGAGAGGAUGAUCAGUAGCACUGGAACUGAGGCACGGUUCAGGCUCCUACGGGAGGGAGCAGUAGGGAAUAGUGCUCAAUGGGGGUAACCCUGAAGGAGCAACGGCGCGUGGAGGAUGACACGUUGCGGAGCGUAAACUCCUUUUGUUAGGGAAGCGGUACCUAAAGAAUAAGCACCGGCUAACUCCGUGCCAGCAGCCGCGGUAAUAC
rnacentral:rRNA from 1 species